AAUGAUACUUCCCUGAACCUGUCUAUAAGGGCCCGCGAAGAAGGAAAAGCGGGGGAAUGCCCGCCGCGUUUGAAAUAGAAUGCGGCCGGAUUCC
rnacentral:sRNA from 12 species